GUCACUUUGCCGGAGUGGUUAACGGGAUCGCCUGCUACAUACAGCUAAGCGGUUGGGCUUUGCCCGCGAGUGUUCGAAUCGCUCAGGUGACG